CCUCGCAGACAUCACUCCUUCUUCCCACCCCCAUUACCAUUAAUCCAUGUUGUAGAAAGAUGUAACAUUUGUCACUGGUUUAUUAUGAAGUGCAAUGUUGCGAGUUAUUUAUGAGCUUGCUAUUUAUCGAAAUAUUUGCGGGUAGUUUUAGCACUCCAACUCUAGGGUGAAAAUGAGCCAGGCUUUACCCACUGCCUGGCACAACCCACUCCUGUUUAACCACUUCACUGCCACUCUCUGGCUGUGCCAGCAGAGCAGAUCUUCCAGGGCUGUGUUUUAGGGCAGCCUCUCAGCCUUGUGACUUCCAAGUAAGUUCAAUUACCUUUUGUUCUCAAUAGGUGGAAACGGAUGCUGAGGAAUGCUCCAGAGGCCAUGGGCAGAAACAGGCCAGGAAUGGAGAUGUUUCUGAACUACAUAUGACUGCUGGAAAGAAGGCAGCCUGGGGAUCUCACAGCACAGAGCAACUGGCCAGACCACAGACCAAGGCAGUCCACUAUUCAGUGCCUGGUAACAGAUACCCAAGAAAGAGCAUUAGAACACAACAAACACGUAGCAGCCUUUCUCCAGAGUAUUCCCCCCAGCUCCCAGCAAUCUGCCAUACAGGAACUUUCCAGGAGAGAGCUUUGCAUCUGUCUUUAAUAGCCCUCAAGGGAUUUUUCAGCCUGGAGUAUGCCCAAUCCCUCCUCAAAUCUACGAAGGCAUUUUUGCACCACGAUGCCCUGACGGCAAGGAGUACCAGAGCUUAAAUUCCAUGUUGCAUAAACAUUUCUUUUUGCUUGGUUUGACUCCACUCUUACACACAGUGCCUCCCCGUGUAUCUGAAGCUGCCACUGUAACCUAAUUCCAGCAGGACAAUUCCCACCUCCACUCAAGACUAAUGCUGGUGGAUCUGUAAAGCAGAUGGAGAGAAAUGCAGGUUUGAUUCUGUGGAUGUGAAGUCAGAGUGAAUUCCAAGUCACCGGAGCUCACGCACAAAUACCAAGACAUGAAUGAAGAAAGAAGACAUUUGAUUCAGAUUCCAACAGCAAAACCUCCAGCAAGGGUCAAGCAAAGCAAGCUUUCUACAGCGAGUGCCACCAGCUUCUGUGCAUUACCAGGCUGUAUUUGAAUGGGAAGCAGCAGCUGGUGCUGAAGAAUCCAUCUGUUCCAGCCACUCCCUCCUCACCUGAACUCAGGCAGACCUGCUUACGGUGUUUUGGGUGCCUGUGAGUUGAAAACAGCUGAGAAAUUUGAGACUGGAGAGAAAAAAUAAAGGAAAAGUGAAAAACU